CGGAUUGUUAAUGCAAGUAGAAUGAGACAUUUAAAAUCUUGAUUGAGUACCAAUUAGAGGGCAAGCCUGGUGCCAGCAGCCGCGGUAAUUCCAGCUCUAAUAGCGUAUAUUAAAGUUGUUGCAGUUGAAAAGCUCGUAGUUGAACUUUUGUUAGGUCCUCGACAGGUCAUUUAUGGCAGUGAAACAUCACCUCCGUGGUGAAGCGGUAGC
rnacentral:rRNA from 1 species